ensembl:snRNA U6 U6 spliceosomal RNA
GUACUUGCUUCAGCAGCACAUACACUAAAACCGGAGCAAUACAGAGAUUAGCAUGGUCCUUGCCCAGAGAUGAUAUGCAUAUUUGUGAAGUAUUUUUUUUGUUU